UACGUAGGGUGCUAGCGUUGUCCGGAAUUAUUGGGCGUAAAGAGCUCGUAGGCGGUCUGUCGCGUCUGCUGUGAAAACCUAGGGCUUAACUCUGGGCGUGCAGUGGGUACGGGCAGACUAGAGUGCGGUAGGGGAGACUGGAAUUCCUGGUGUAGCGGUGAAAUGCGCAGAUAUCAGGAGGAACACCGGUGGCGAAGGCGGGUCUCUGGGCCGUAACUGACGCUGAGGAGCGAAAGCAUGGGGAGCGAACAGG
rnacentral:rRNA from 1 species